AUUGAACGCUGGCGGCAGGCCUAACACAUGCAAGUCGAGCGGAUGAGUGGAGCUUGCUCCAUGAUUCAGCGGCGGACGGGUGAGUAAUGCCUAGGAAUCUGCCUGGUAGUGGGGGACAACGUUUCGAAAGGAACGCUAAUACCGCAUACGUCCUACGGGAGAAAGCAGGGGACCUUCGGGCCUUGCGCUAUCAGAUGAGCCUAGGUCGGAUUAGCUAGUAGGUGAGGUAAAGGCUCACCUAGGCGACGAUCCGUAACUGGUCUGAGAGGAUGAUCAGUCACACUGGAACUGGGACACGGUCCAGAAGCCUACGGGAGGCAGCAGUGGGGAAUAUUGGACAAUGGGCGAAAGCCUGAUCCAGCCAUGCCGCGUGUGUGAAGAAGGUCUUCGGAUUGUAAAGCACUUUAAGUUGGGAGGAAGGGUAUUCACCUAAUACGUGGGUACUUUGACGUUACCAACAGAAUAAGCACCGGCUAACUCUGUGCCAGCCGCCGCCGUAAGAC
rnacentral:rRNA from 1 species